rnacentral:tRNA from 1 species
AAUUCUUUGGCAGAGGAAAUGCGUUAAGUUUAGAUCUUAAAGACAAGAAAAUCUUAAGAAUUA